rnacentral:tRNA from 1 species
GGUUCCAUAGUGUAGCUGUUAGCAUGUCUGCUUUACAUGCAGAAGGUCCUGGGUUCGUGCCCCCAGUGAAGCCA